rnacentral:misc_RNA from 1 species
GAAAUGCGAUAAGUAAUGUGAAUUGCAGAAUUCAGUGAAUCAUCGAAUCUUUGAACGCACAUUGCGCCCUCUGGUAUUCCGGAGGGCAUGCCUGUUCGAGCGUCAUUUCAACCCUCAAGCCUGGCUUGGUGAUGGGGCACUGCUCUCGCAGCGAGAGCAGGCCCUGAAAUUCAGUGGCGAGCUCGCCAGGACCCCGAGCGUAGUAGUUAUAUCUCGCUCCGGAAGGCCCUGGCGGUGCCCUGCCGUUAAACCCCCAACUUCUGAAAAUUUGACCUCGGAUCAGGUAGGAAUACCCGCUGAACUUAAGC